AGGAAAGACAAUAAUAAACUGAAAUUCUUAGAAAGUGAAUGAAAUGCUAUUGGCAUGGCCAGCCUUUUCUACACUCACAGGAUUUACAAAGUGAUUUUGAAGCAACACCGAUAAAAGAUAUUUUCAGCAUCGCCUAUGUUAAUUGAGCCUUGCAAGAGUCUAUUCACCCAUUCAGCUUGGUGGAGUGGUAUUUUUUGGGGUUUCAACAACACAAUGAAAGGAAUGAGAUCAUUCACAUCUCACUGACACCGUUUGCAACUUAUUUACAUUUUCAAGAUUAUUUUCACACCCCUGGGCAGAAGCUGAAGGCUGACACACCACAUGAAAGGCUGGCAAAAAGCAGGAAGUAAUGGGAACCCUCAUAGGAAAACACACCCUUCUGAGAGUCACAGACCAAUUUUGCAGACCAAUGAGAGCACUCCCAGCCCUGCCAGCUGUCUGCCUGGCACAAAUGGACUAGGGAAGAGAUGUUCAAUGAGCAAAUGCAAUCCACCAACUUGAACGGGGAGCGCAUACGCAAGUGGAGGAAUAUGCUGCUUGAGGAGAGGUGUAUGGAGCGUCAAGAAAGGAAAGCAUGCAGGAAACUGAAAUUGUAGCACCAGGAAAGUGCUGUCAUCCAUGGUGGAUGUGAUGGACAACAUGGAGGCACUCCAGGUCUCCCUCCUGGACAGGCCUCCCUCUGGCCCUCAUGGAUUAACAUUCCCUCUUCCCCAAGUUCUAGAGCCUACUCUCCAAGGGGACCUAGCAUGUGAGGUGGGAGAGUCAAGGGGAGCCUCACA